rnacentral:rRNA from 1 species
AACGAACGCUGGCGGCAGGCUUAACACAUGCAAGUCGAACGAGAUCUUCGGAUCUAGUGGCAGACGGGUGAGGAACACGUGGGAACAUCCCCUUCAGUUCGGAAUAACGUUGGGAAACUAACGCUAAUACCGGAUACGUCCUUCGGGAGAAAGAUUUAUCGCUGAAAGAUUGGCCCGCGUCUGAUUAGCUAGUUGGUGAGGUAAUGGCUCACCAAGGCUACGAUCAGUAGCUAAUCUGAGAGGAUGAUCAGCCACAUUGGGACUGAGACACGGCCCAAACUCCUACGGGAGGCAGCAGUGGGGAAUAUUGGACAAUGGGCGCAAGCCUGAUCCAGCCAUGCCGCGUGAGUGAUGACGGCCUUCGGGUUGUAAAGCUCUUUUGUCCGGGAAGAUAAUGACUGUACCGGAAGAAUAAGCCCCGGCAAACUUCGUGCCAGCCGCCGCGGUAA